GUCAACUACUCCUGGCUCACGCAGGGGGCCUGUUCCGUGAGGAACAGCGUAAGAGUUGAUUAGAGAGCUUUAAAAAAUAUAGUGAAAAACAUGAAAGAAAAGCAGAAGUUAGACAAAAGAGAUACAUACACACCCGCGGAUGCUCCACAAGUCCGUGGCAACUGUG
rnacentral:sRNA from 14 species